GAAUGAAACUUAGUGUCGCAUGACACGAAGUUAAAAGGCGCUUUGGCGUCACCUAGAGAUGGAUCCGCGGUGCAUUAGUUAGUUGGUGGGGUAAAGGCCUACCAAGACAAUGAUGCAUAGCCGAGUUGAGAGACUGAUCGGCCACAUUGGGACUGAGACACGGCCCAAACUCCUACGGGAGGCUGCAGUAGGGAAUCUUCCACAAUGGGCGAAAGCCUGAUGGAGCAACGCCGCGUGUGUGAUGAAGGCUUUCGGGUCGUAAAGCACUGUUGUAUGGGAAGAACAGCUAGAAUAGGGAAUGAUUUUAGUUUGACGGUACCAUACCAGAAAGGGACGGCUAAAUACGUGCCAGCAGCCGCGGUAAUACGUAUGUCCCGAGCGUUAUCCGGAUUUAUUGGGCGUAAAGCGAGCGCAGACGGUUGAUUAAGUCUGAUGUGAAAGCCCGGAGCUCAACUCCGGAAUGGCAUUGGAAACUGGUUAACUUGAGUGCAGUAGAGGUAAGUGGAACUCCAUGUGUAGCGGUGGAAUGCGUAGAUAUAUGGAAGAACACCAGUGGCGAAGGCGGCUUACUGGACUGUAACUGACGUUGAGGCUCGAAAGUGUGGGUAGCAAACAGGAUUAGAUACCCUGGUAGUCCACACCGUAAACGAUGAACACUAGGUGUUAGGAGGUUUCCGCCUCUUAGUGCCGAAGCUAACGCAUUAAGUGUUCCGCCUGGGGAGUACGACCGCAAGGUUGAAACUCAAAGGAAUUGACGGGGACCCGCACAAGCGGUGGAGCAUGUGGUUUAAUUCGAAGCAACGCGAAGAACCUUACCAGGUCUUGACAUCCUUUGAAGCUUUUAGAGAUAGAAGUGUUCUCUUCGGAGACAAAGUGACAGGUGGUGCAUGGUCGUCGUCAGCUCGUGUCGUGAGAUGUUGGGUUAAGUCCCGCAACGAGCGCAACCCUUAUUGUUAGUUGCCAGCAUUCAGAUGGGCACUCUAGCGAGACUGCCGGUGACAAACCGGAGGAAGGCGGGGACGACGUCAGAUCAUCAUGCCCCUUAUGACCUGGGCUACACACGUGCUACAAUGGCGUAUACAACGAGUUGCCAACCCGCGAGGGUGAGCUAAUCUCUUAAAGUACGUCUCAGUUCGGAUUGUAGUCUGCAACUCGACUACAUGAAGUCGGAAUCGCUAGUAAUCGCGGAUCAGCACGCCGCGGUGAAUACGUUCCCGGGUCUUGUACACACCGCCCGUCACA
rnacentral:rRNA from 1 species